GACGUAGGGGGCAAGCGUUAUUCGGAAUUAUUGGGCGUAAAGCGCUCGUAGGCGGGACUGGAAGUCCGUGUUGAAAGACCUCGGCUCAACUGAGGGACCGGCUCGGAUACUCUAGUUCUUGAGGCAAUCAGAGGGUGAUGGAAUUCCCGGUGUAGCGGUGAAAUGCGUAGAUAUCAGGAGGAACACCGAUGGCGAAGGCAGGUCUCUGGGCUGACACUGACGCUCAUGCACGAAAGCGUGGGGAGCAAACAGG
rnacentral:rRNA from 1 species